GGAGAGGUGGCCGAGUGGUCGAAGGCGCUCCCCUGCUAAGGGAGUAGAGGCCAAAAGCCUCUCGAGGGUUCGAAUCCCUUCCUCUCCG
rnacentral:tRNA from 1 species